ensembl:snRNA U5 U5 spliceosomal RNA
AGGCCAGCCUCUUCAGGUCGCAUAAAUCUUUCACCUUUUACUAAAGAUUUCCGUGGAGAGGCACAAUUCUGAGCUUUGAACCAUUAUUCUGCAAGGCUAAUAAUAUAAAGCCAC